rnacentral:tRNA from 1 species
GGGCGUCUGGUGUAAAGGUAUCACAUCUGCUUUGCAUGCAGAAGGCCCCGAGCUCAGUUCUCGGCAAGUCCA